GUGGAAGGGUCAGGUGCUAGGAGCAGCAGCUGUUUCCUCACUGGUGUAUCCGAGUACCAAACAUCCAGUUUAGGGUCAUACUGUCUGUGAGGCAGAUGCCUGUAAAUACACUGAACGGAUAAGCCACUGUAAAGGGGCAAGUUAGAUAGAAAGUGUAAGCGAUGUCUUCUUCCCCGAAUGUCUGAGGUCACAUUGAGCCAAAGGAUGCAGGAUGAAAGGUCAUCUACUUAAAGAAGACACCAGAAGAAGCGUACAGAGCUCUCCUGUCUGGCUCAAACCCUCCUUAUCUUCCAUUCAGGGAUGCGUCCUUUGGAAAUUGCACUUACAACCUCACCGUCCUUGACUGUUUACAAGGAAUCAGAAAGG
rnacentral:lncRNA from 1 species